GUCAGUUUGUCCGAGUGGUUAAGGAGUUAGACUUGAAAUCUAGUGGGUUCUACCCGCGCAGGUUCAAAUCCUGCAGCUGUACG
rnacentral:tRNA from 1 species